AACGAACGCUGGCGGCAGGCCUAACACAUGCAAGUCGAACGCCGUAGCAAUACGGAGUGGCAGACGGGUGAGUAACACGUGGGAACGUACCCUUCGGUUCGGAAUAACUCAGGGAAACUUGAGCUAAUACCGGAUACGUCCGAGAGGAGAAAGAUUUAUCGCCGAGGGAUCGGCCCGCGUCUGAUUAGCUUGUUGGUGAGGUAACGGCUCACCAAGGCGACGAUCAGUAGCUGGUCGAGAGGAUGAUCAGCCACAUUGGGACUGAGACACGGCCCAAACUCCUACGGGAGGCAGCAGUGGGGAAUAUUGGACAAUGGGCGCAAGCCUGAUCCAGCCAUGCCGCGUGAGUGAUGAAGCCCUAGGGUUGUAAAGCUCUUUUACCCGGGAAGAUAAUGACUGUACCGGGAGAAUAAGCCCCGGCUAACUUCGUGCCAGCAGCCGCUGUAAC
rnacentral:rRNA from 1 species